rnacentral:lncRNA from 1 species
UUCAGUGCUGAUUUGCUACCUCCAUAUUUUUGGCUAAGUCCCUGAAAGUGACAGCAGUGAGUUAGCUCCUUUAUGACAUUUUAUUAUCCAAAUUCAUAUAGUAACUCAAUUGGAUUCCUUAAUAUGAGUUGGAGUACCCUUCUUGAUUAAAGCAAUGGAUCAAGUGUCAUUAAAUUUGGAGUUCAUUUGGAUAUCUAAAAGUAGCUCCUAAAACAGCAAAAGAUUAUUUUAUCGCUAAACGGACGUGUACCCGUUGGCAUGCCGCGUUCUCAUGUUUUUGUUAAGCAACUAAAGUUAGUCCAAUAAUAAAAGUGGUGGGCCAUUACUUGGAGAAGGUCAUGUAAAAAGUUACAUCAUGUUUGACAUGGUUUGGACCAUCAAUUCUUGGUUUUGCUAAUCAUCGUCAAUACAUUGACACUCGUGAUUUGGCAUCAAAUUAUCUCCUAAUCUGUUGGUCUAAUGACUGAGCACCCUUAACCAAAGUUGUAGUGGACGUCGGGGUGAGCAAAUUUCAUUUUUGACCCAUCUUCAAAUUCGGCCCGGAACAAGCCCAAAAUCGGCUCCCACCUUGCCUACUCCGACGCGCGCCACGUGCUCGGCUCGUGGCUCCACCCAUUAGUCCCUAUUCGUAGUAUGGCUCGAGACUAAACGUCCCUCAGCGUGAGCUUCGAAAUUACAGGAGGCCUUAAAUCCCAGUUCGUCUCACAGGCCGAGACUAAAAGCCCAAAACUUGCAAUUCCCGGCAGUUAAGGGGGAGUGUUUGGUGUUUAUUUUUUCUUUUUUUUAAAACAUAUCCAAUAUUUUUAAUUAUAUCAUAAAUUAAAUACUUGACAUAAUAUUGUGAAAAAAAUAAUAUGGAUUUCCUUUUGCUUUAUGGCACAUAAGAAAAAAUUGUAACCUAAUAUCUUUUAUUUUUUAAAAAAUAAUGAAUAUAAAUGUUACUAAUUACGUGUAUUUUGUUAAUGCAAAAAUAUAUUCUUCACUUAAACUAUAUAAUACUAUUUAUUUUUAACAGAAAAUGUAUUUCCACAUA